UAUGACCAUGUUCAUUAUGUCCUCCUUUAAUCCUAAAUUUCUUUAUUGGUAUAUAGUAGAAUCUGCUUCCUAAUAUGAUUGUGUGGAUCAAGUGAAAUAGUGAACGUCAAAAAUUUAUCUCAGUGCACGGCACACCCCACAUGGUCAAUAAUUCUUGGCUGCUGCGUUAUAAGGUAUUCUGUCCAGUCUCCCCUGUAUGGCACCCAGCUCUUGGGGGGAGAAUUUAACAUAUGUUCUUGUGAAUAAAAACCUAGCCACAAAAAAUAUACUGGUAUAAUGUUACAUUUGACCUGUUCCUCAUGAUGACAGAUAGAAAAUCUUCUUUUUGAAAACAAACUAAACAUCAUUUAAAACCUAGAAGAAUCCAUGUAAACCUGUUAAGAACAUGUAUUCAAUACAAAGUACCAUUGGCCUUAUAAUUAAACAAAAAAUUCGCCAGUUGGUUUGGAUUUUUAUUCUGAUUUGUUCACUGAUUGUGCGUGUUGGCUCUGAGCAAGUCUAUCCUCUUCAUCUGCAUUAUAGGGUAAGUAAGCUCUUCCAUCAAUCCAGAGUGCCUGCUUUGCGGUAGUGAUUAAGCCCUGAGUAAGCUGUUGAGAUGCUACCUUAUCUUACUCAGGCUGGUCGAUUUGGGCAGAGUUAUGCCAGGAGAUAGGAUUAGAUCUGUUUUCAUAUCAUUUUAUAUAUAUGACUCUUAAAUUUGACCAAAGAAAAUAAGUGCACUAUUUUAAAGCAGAGAGGAAGUAUCAAGUAUUUGGGUAUCAUCCGUCAGAUAUUUUAAAAGUUUAUAAUUGGUACCUGUGUCUAUAUGUGCUGUUCCUGUAUAUAAGUGAUAUCUUGUAACAUUUCUGACAAGUGUAGAGGAAUGGUUUUGGUAAUAAGAAUCUGAAAAUACAGAAUUUCAUCUGAGAUCGUGUAGUCUUUGAGGGUUUGUUUUGUUUCUCAGACGAGAAUGGUUUCCAACUACUAUGUGGUGACAAAUGUAUUGUAAAAAAUUAUUUGGUAUUUCUUUGUUUUUGCCAAUGUAGAAUGUAGGAGUUGGAUGGCAAACAAGACCAAAGUGAGUUGAAGGUACAAUGGGAGCUGGGGUAUUGUAGUUCUGAGUAGGAAGGACUUAGAUAGAAAGGCAGAGGUUGGAGAGUAUAGAGCUGCUUAUCCUUGCUUUGGAGUGCAGACCAUGGACUUGGUCAUGUUUGUUCCAGGUUUAACAUUUGAGACUCCCCUUAAAAAAAAAAACAACAAAAAACUAUAAGCAGCCCUAAAGAUGUUUUUAAAGAAUAUGUGAAGUAUUCAUUCAUUAUUUGUCAGGAGAACUUUGGUGGUCUUAAAGCAUAUGCUACCUCCUGAGACUUGGUCCCUUCUAGUUCUUUUUAAAGGGACUCUCUGGUGAAAGUAUGAGCCUAGUCUGAUCCCUUCAUCAGAUUUCAGUCUCUGGGUUAACACUGAUCAGACCUCCAACAGAUAAGAUAAGCCUGUAUUUACUCUAAGGAGAGUAUUAAGUUGAAGAGGCUUGAGCUUCCAUUUUUCCAAGUGACUGUUUUAACAAGGGCAGUCCAAAAAUAGAUGUAUACACCUCAAUGCUCAAAUUCAGAUUCUUGGUAAAGGCAGUGUUACCUAAAUAGUCUUCAGGGGAGUAACACUGUUGAAAUGUGUUAAGUAUAAGGGCGGUAUUAUUUUCUCAAGAAACUUGUGAUGCCACUUUUGUGUCGCACAUUUAGUCCAGCACUUACAGGUCAGUAUCAUUCACUGCAUAAAAGGUCUGGAAUUAGUUGGGUCAGACUAGUCCAGAACCUGAGUUAGUUUCAAGUAGUUUUCAAACCUGGUCACAUAUUAGAAAUACCUAUGUAGCUUUUGAGAAAUAUUAAUUCCUAGACCUCACCCUCAGGUCCUGAUUUAAUAACUGUAAUUGACCUUACUUAAAGAUUUGGGCCAGAAAAUGCUCUUCUUUUUCAUAGUGACUCAGACUCCCAGCAUAUACCAAAUCUCAAUUCUUUACUUUAUUCUAGGUGCUAUUAAAAACAGGGCUUUUUACUUGCAUGUUUUUGUUGGUUUGCUAUUAUUUUGGAAAGACAGACAUUAUGAGUAUGUCUGCCUAAUUAGGAUUUGGUUUUGCCUAAAGCAUUUGCUUAGCCAGAACUUUCUUUGCCAUUGGAGAGCAAUCAAGUGCCUAUCUUUUUUUAUAGCAAAAUCCCCUCUUAAUUACUUAGUCCUUAGGUAGUUUCAUUUAUUCAUUCAACAAACACUGAUUGAGCACUUAUUAUGUGCUGGGCACAAGUCUGGAUGCCAGUGAUAUGCCAAUAAAUAACACAAACCUUCUUCUGUGUUCUCAUGGAGUUUACAUAUUUCCCACCAGUGGAAGAGAUAGACGAAAAUAUGGUGUCAGGUUGUGGUAAGUACAAUGGAGAAAAAUAAGGUAGGGUAAGGAGUUAAGCCAUUUUUUCUUUUUAAGAUUUAACCAUGUUUUGUUUUUCCUAGGAGUUAGUAAACUGUUUGUAUUCAGAACCAUUAUGGUUCCUUUCCUACCUGGUAUCUACCAGGUAGUACUGGUGAAUCCCAUCCCAAAGGUGGCCUUUUCUCUGAAAGUAGCUAUUAGAGCUUUCAGUGUCAAUUCACUUUUUUCAGCAUACCAGAACAUAAAAGAUGGUAAGGACAAGAUAGAUUUUGAAAAUGUGUGUGGGGUGCCUGGGUGGUUCAGUCCGUUAUGCAUCUGACUCGGCUCAGGUCAUGAUCUUAUGGUUUUUGGGCUCUGUGCUGACAGCAAGGAGCCUGCUUGGGAUUCCCUCCCUGUCCAUCUCUCUCUGCCCCCCACCCCCAUUUGUGCACAGGCACAUACACUCUGUCUCUCAAAUAAACUUAAAAAAAAAGUGCUUUAAUUUCGAUUUGUAUAGCUACCAUGAACAUUAAUGUAUUGUUUUCACUGUUGUUGUCUUAUGGUAAAGCCUAAAAGUAAGUUAUUUUUGUAUAGUUAAUUCAUUUUUUCAUGAAAUAUUAUAUACAGAAAAAUGAAUAUACACUAAUGUAACCAUCACUUAGGUCAAGAAGUAAAUCAUUUUUAGUAACCUAGAAGCCCCUUCCUCCACGUACCCUGUCCUGAUAUACUCCUCUUUCUUAUUUUUCUAACUACCAACCUGGCUUUUGUGAACAUCAUCUCCCUUUUUCUUUAUAAUUUUAUCUGUCUUUGCAUCCCUAUGUGAUAUAAUUUAAUUUUGCUUGUGUUUGAACAAGCAUAUAAUUAUACUUGAUAUUUUGUGGUUUGCUUUUUUCCUGCUCAACACUCUGCUGGUGAUUCAUCCAUGUAUUAUGCAGUCGAUAUGCUACUGAAUGCAUAUACCAUAAUAUACGCAUUCUCUUAUUGAUGGACGUGUUAUUUUUUAGUUUUUGGCUAAUAUGAACAAUGAACAUUUUUGUUCAUCUUUUCUGGUGUACAUGGGUAUUCUUCAAGACAUACAUCAAGGAUUGUCAAAGGGUAUGUUUCAGCUUUACUACAUAAUUUUUUUGCCAAAGCAGUUUUCCAGUUAACACUUAAUCUGCAGUUUGUGAGAGUUCUUCUUGUUCCACAUCUUCAUGAAUACCUCAGUGUGUUUCUGAAAGUUAUUUUUUUUUUAAUGUUUAAUGUUUAUUUUUAAGAGACGGAUAUAGAGUGCGAGUGGGGAAGGGGUAGAGAGAGAAGGGAGACAGAGAAUCCACAGCAGGCUCCAGGCCCUGAGCUAUCAGCAUAGAGCCCCACAUGGGGCUCGAACUCACAAACUGCGAGACCAUGACCUGGGCCAAAGUUACACGCUUAACCAACUGAGCCACCCAGGUGCCCCUGUUUGAAAGUUAUUAAAGAAAAAAAAUUAGGCUUUAAAAACUUUCCAGUUCUUCAAACUCGAAUUUCUGCUUUAAUCACUUUUCAGAGGUGAAGUAAUAGGAAUAACAAAGUGCUUGCAUUAUGCAGGCAACAUCCUAAGUACUUCACAUGAAUUAUCUCAUAUAAUCUUGAGAAUCCCAAAGCAAUGGGGUCCUUUACUAUUCUCAUUUUACAGAUAAGGGAACUGAAGUUCAGAGAUACUAAGUUACUUCACCAAGUGAUUCAAAUAGAAAUGGCCUAUUAAAGACACACAUUCAGUGUUUGUCCCUUAAGUCCAAGCUCAUGGUCAUCAUGCUUUAAUUCCUCUACCUUCUUUCAAAAUACUUAAGUGGCCCUAAAAACUGAUCCUUGAAUAAUGGAAGGGCUAAACCUUUAUGAUCCUAGGCAGACUUUGAGAGGUGGUUUAUACGCACAAAAAAUGUCGAAAAUGGGUCACUGCAAUUCCUUGUGAUCUCUCCACAAUUUAUCUCCAGAAUGGCUGAGCCACAAUUUCCCUGGUAAGGUUUUUGACCUAUACUCAAAAAAGAAAUGUGCUAAUAUUAUGUUGUAAACUUCAAGUUUGGGCAAGCCCAGCGACCAACGGAAAACAAAACUAUUAUUAACAGCCAUCAUUACCAGAUCCCAGAUAAGGUAAAUGUUGCAGCCUGAAUUCUUUACUUUCUGUUGUUCUAAAAUAUAAUUUUAAUUCUUACUACGUCAUUAAAAGAGUGAAUAACAUAAUCCUAAAUCACUUCGAGUUAGUGAACUGUGCUAAUUGCUGUGAGAAAUACGAAGAUGUACGUAGAUGUGGUAUAGACCUCAAAAGGCUUCAAAUUCAGUAAAAAGGAUUAUGCCUAUGAUGGCUACAAAGUGACGCAUUUUGAGACUAGUGCGGCCCAUCUGUGCGCUAAAAAGACAGCCAUGAAAAAUACUGUCCUGGAACGAUGGAUUCUGGAAUUCUAUCAGUCGUUGCACAGUGAAAACAUCACCUGCGGGUGCCUGGCUAUUAUGAAGUUUGGUCUGUUUUUCUUACCAAGAGACCAGUAGUUUGUAAAUGGAAACGUGUUGUAUUCUCACCGUUGGGGAACAGGCUGGCAUGUAAAAUGUAGUGCGAAACUGGUGACUUCAAGUCCUGACGACCCUAAACCCUACCCGCCUGAGGAAAAGGCUGAGUUGAGGGACGGCUGCCUUGGGCACUCGUUAUGUGAAUACAGUACAGACUCGACUUCUCGAACCGGCAUUAACUUGAGCGGGCCGCGCCAUCAGCGCCUGCCAACCUCUGAGGCUCAAGGCCGCGAGGCUUUUGAUUUCUCUGUCCCGAUCUCAGUACGUCCGUAAAAGACAGGGCAAGCAAGUACUUCCUGGAGGGUUCCUUCCACAGGAGAUUCGUUUUAUUUCAACAAAUGUAAAGAAGAGAGGGAAUGAACUUCCUUGCUCGCUAAACGGUAGCGGCGAAGUCUGCACUUUGUCCGAGGGAGGGGCGUCGGAGUUGCAGAACUGAAGUUUGGCCCGGGCCUGGCCACGCCCUGAGCUUCCGGAUUUGGGCACAAACUGAACCCCCUACCUAGAACGCUUACCCCACCGUUCUGCCCCAACAGGAAACUUCUUUUUAGUCCGUCAUAACGCAUUUCCGGCCCCUGAGCCGGAAGUUGAAACGGCCGAAACCGCAAAUCCGAGGCGGAUCCUGUGGCCGGUUUAGGUGAGAUCUCGCGACGCUUCUUCAAAUCUCACGAAGAGCCGGAAGAGUCCUAAUGCACCACCCCAGUUUUUACGUCACCCCGGAGACACGCCCUUGGGCGCCCGUUUGCGUGCUCGCCCGUCUUGCGCAUGCGCAAUAUCCCCCCUUCCGCCCCCGUGUGGGCUUCCCUCUGGCCAGUCGCGCGUGGGCUGAGGCCCUGGGCGGGCGUUGCGAAGGCUUGUUUGCUUGAGCGCUGACCCCGGGGCCGUCCGGAGUUCUCUACCUCGGGGUUGGAGGGUGUAGACCCCCUACCUAAGGUGAAUGUGCUGUCUCGUGGGCUACUAAGGCCAGGCGGGGAGCACGGGGGCCGGGGCAGCGGCCAUGAACUCGCCCGUGGACCCCGGCGCUAGGCAGGCGCUGAAGAAGAAGCCGCCCGAGCGGACCCCCGAGGUAAGGUUGGCGGACUCUAGUUGUCCAAUGGACAACAUCCCCUUGUCGGUCCGAAACCUGCGGCGACUGUCCCCUUGCCAGAUCCUCGCACCUGCUGCCAGUGUAUCUGUUCUCUGCGUCCCCCCGCCCUCACCCAGGCCCUUCUCGCCGAGGUGAUGACCGCCUUUCUUGCUCGAGAUGCCGCCUUCCUCGUACACCCGUCUUUGCCGGUGACUUCCUGGUGUUUUCGAUAAGAAGACACCAUUACAAAGUUGUAUUUUGUCAGGGCAAAAUGUGCGUCUUGGAGUGAGAGUACCCUUAGGUAGAUAGACUUUGAAAAACGAAGUAGACAUUAUAAGUGAAUAGUCAUGUUGCUAAGAUGUAACUUAUUGCCUAGAAAAGAAAGUUUUCAAAAGCACUUUAAAACUGCAUCCAGUCAGAUGAUGAAUUCUGGGAGUGGAUGAUGCAUAUUUAAAGAUCUGUUCUUGCGGUACUUUCUCAAACUGUCAGCGGGAAAUUUUACAGUAUUUUGUGCUUGGAUCCAGAAUUUGGUAUAUUGGGUUAGCAUCAGUGGCAUACGCUUAAAUGAUUUUCAUCAUCAGACCUGAAGGCUGAUUUUCAGACUGGUAUCUGAAACGUUUUAAUUUUGCACAGCCUUAUAGAGUGCUUAAAUUUUGAGGGGGGGGGAGGUUUUCCUUGAUUUGGAGAAGUUUCUGUAAUAAAUGGUAUGUUUCCUAAAGCAAAAAGCAAAAACUGGCAACAGCGUGAACAGAUCGGUGGAUUGUCUUGUAUAUAGUUGCAAUAAAUGAAAUUAAUUGCUUUGAUUCUUACUAAGUCACUUUGUAGGUUUUUUCAGAUUUAUAGUGCUUUGCAUAGUGGGUUUCAGUAACUUUGGUCUGACCUUUUGGGACAUGACAUUAGUCAAGCUGUAACUGUAGUUGUGGUAAGUCAAACUUUGUUUUGGGGGGGGGGGGUCCUGAUCUUUGAAUGGAAACCAGGCAUAUUCUGCCACUUUCCAGAGUUCUCGUUUUGAGACCUACAUUUAUAAUCCCAUGUGUUUUAGUUUCCCUGUGAUGAUUCUUGAAGUCGUUGUGAGCUAAUUGAAAGUGUUCACCUUCCCAGGUGAAUUUGCUAUAGUUUUUAUAUAAUUAGAAACUAUUACAUAAGGCUUCCAAUGCAUAAUGUAGGUUUUACUUUUUCUCUUAAAAAUUUUUAAAAAUUCUUUCUUCCUUUAUUUUUGCUAUUUGUAUUUAUUUAUUUUUUAAUUUAAUUAAUUUAUUUUGAGAGCAAGAAAGCACAAGUGGGGAAGGGGUGGAGGGAAAGAGGGAGAGAGAGAAUUCCAAGCAGUCUCUGUGCUGACAGCAUGAGGCUCCAACUCACUAUCUAUAAGAUCAUGACUUGAGCUGAAAUCAGGAGUCUGACACUUAACUGACUGAACCACCUAGGCACCCCUCUGCACCCCUCUGCUUUUUUUUUUUUUUUUAAUGUUUUCACAUUUAUGUAUUUUUGAGAGACGGAGACAGACAGAGUGUGAGUGGGGGAGGGGCAGAAAGAGAGAGACACAGAAUCCCAAGCAGGCUCCAGGCUCUGAGCUGUCAGCACAGAGCCCAGUGCAGGGCUCGAACCCAUGAACCGUGAGAUCAUGAUCUGAGCCGAAGUCGGACACCCAACCUACUGAGCCACCCAGGCCUCCCCACCCUCCCCUGCUCUGCUUCUAAAUACAAUUUAUGAUAAAUUCACACUUACUGGGAAUAUCACACUUCCCUUUUUUAAGUUUUUAUUUUGAGAGGGAGAGAGAAAGUGGGGGAGGGGCGGGGGGGAGGACAGAGGAUCCUAAGCAGGCGAUGUACUGACAGCAGAGAGCCCUAUGCAAGGUUCAGACUCAAGAACCAUGAGAUCAUGACCUGAGCCGAAGUCAGAUGCUGAACCAACUGAGCCACCCAGGUGUCUCUACUUCUCUUUAAUAGCAGAAUUUACUAGUUUGAAAUGGCCCAUUUUUGAGUCUUAGGAAAUUUUCUGAACUAUUCACAAAAUUAUGUUGAGCAAUGUGUGCCCCAUUAAGUACUUUAUCUUGUUUUACUGGAACAGCAGCAGCAUUGCUUUAAGGGAAUGCUGACCAACUGCUGGCGAUACAGUCUAGAGUCCAGAUAUCUAGCAGCAAAACUUGCUUGAUUCAUUGGCAUUGCUUUUGAGUGAGUAUAGAAUUUGUUUGCAGUACAAAAUUGAGUAGAGAAGUGGUAAACCUGAAUCCAAGUGAUGAUUUAUUUGUGGUAACUUGAAAUUCUCACAGAUUCGUUUCUCUUCUCGGGAAAUCUUUAUUCUUUUAAUGGAUUCUUAAAAUUUUAUUCUGUGGUAAUUGCUAAUUUAAAAAAGAUUGAAGGGGUUGGAAGCAAGGGGCAAGGGCUGAGUUGCAGUUUAAAUAAGAUGUCAGUGUUACAAUUUUUGAGAAGACGAUUUUCAUUUAAGGCUUGAUACAUGUGAUGGAAUUAGCUCUGGAGAUAUAUGGGGAAAGAGCUUUCUAAGUAGAAGGAAUACUGAUUGCGCUCCCAAGAGGAGAGUAUGUCUGGUGCAUUCAAGGCACAGCAAGGAGCUCUUAGUAACUGGAGGAGAGUUAACAAGGGUCAGAAUUCUAAGAGAUGAAGUCAUGGAGGCAGUUGGUGUAGGGGCACCUGGGUGGCUCAGUCGGUUGGGCAUCCAACUUUGGCUCACAUCAUGAUCUCACACCUUGUGAGUUCAAGCCCUGCGUUGGGCUCUGUGCUGACAGCUCAGAGCCUGGAGCCUGCUUCAGAUUCUGUGUCUUCCUCUCUAUCUGUCCCUCCCCUGCUCACACUCUGUCUCUCAAUAAUAAAUAAACAUGAAAAAAAAUUGUGGUGUAGGAGGGAGUAUAUCAUUAAGGACUUUGUAAAUCAUGGGAAAUAUCUUAACUUCUAUUUUGUGUGAUAGAGGGGGCUGCUGGAGGAUUCCAAAGCAGUGAUAUUAUACUACCUAAUUUUUUAAAGAGCACCCGCUCACGGGUUGCUUGCUGGGUUGAGAAUAGACUAUAUGAGAGCAAGGGUACAAAGAAGCAGGCACAUCAAUGAGAAACUCUCAUGUUAAAGUCAGGAAGAGCUGAUUGUAACUCAGACUAAGUGAUAGUAAUACAGGUGAUAAGAAGUAAUCAAUUAUGGAAAUAACUCUGAAGGUUUAGCCAGUAGGAUUUGCUAAUGAAUUAGCUUUGUGCUUUGAGGAAAAGUAGAAUCGAACAAGAUUUCACGGUCUUCAGCCUGAAAAGUGGAGUGUUGGAGUUACCAUCAAGGUUGGGUGGGGAGAAGCUGCAGGAGUAGGUUUAGGGAGGGAAGAUCAGGAAUUUAGUUUUGAACAUUUCAAGUUUGAAAUGUCUAUUAGAAAUGUUGAGUAAGGAGUUGCAUAUACAAAUUUGUUUUUCUCUAGAGAGGGCUGGGCUGCAGAUAGAAAUUUUAUAGUCAUUAGCUUCAGAUAUUAAUUAAAGUCAUGAGACUAGAUGAAAUUACCAAGGCUGUGAGUGUACACAGAGAAUAGAAGAGGACCGAAGACAGUCCCGUGGCACACUUGAGUACUACGAGAUCAGGGGAGAAGAGCAGAAACCAGCAAAAGAGGAUGAGUGGCAGCAAACAGUGCAGGAGAAGAAAAGCCAAACCAAUGAAGUGUAUAAUAGAAGGGUAUAAAAUUCAUACAGGUUAUUUUUGUGAAUCCCUAGUGGGUGCAAAGCGUUAUGAAAAAAUACACAAAUAGCUAAGAAUGACUGCCUUAUAAUCUUGUAGUCAUUUGUUUGCAUUGUGUAGUUAAUGAGUAAAGAAGUCUACUGUGUGUUUCUGGGACAGAACUAGUACUCCCUUUAUUUUGAACCAUCAUCUGUUGUCCUUACAUGAAACUAUCAUCUUAAUCUUAGUGACCCAGACAUUGAAUGUGGAAAUGUGUUUUAAAAGUAUACCACUUAGAAUGCGUUCUAACAGUUUUUACUUUUCUGGCUAUUUCUCCUACUGUGUAGUUCCAGCUUCACAGCACAUUGUCUUUCCUGAGCUAGUUCUCUGAUUUCCACAUCACAGAGAUUUUUUUUUUUUUUUAAUGGUAAAUUUUAGACUUAAGUACUCUGCAAAGCUUAGUGCUCUAAAUCAAUGAAAGCUGUUAAGGUACUCAUUUUGAGUCUUUACACCAAAGUUAAAGAUACUAUAGUCAAAAUUAAGGCCUUGAAUUUGGCUUUUCCUCAGCUCAGUCUGUAUCCAGCAUCAUUCUUUGUCUGUAACCUUUCAUUUUACCUCAGAGUUAGUUCCUUAACUCUCUUAGGGUUUCUUUUUGUUAGUGUUUAAUAUCAUGCUUUGCAUGUACUAAAUAAUGGAUAAAUGUGUUAAAACAAAAUUUAGAAUUUUGUGUGGUCUUCAUGUUAAAUAGAUAAUAGUUUCUGUCAAUUAGAACUGCUGAUUUUGUACUUCCUGGGAAGCCAUUCAGCAGCUUGGCUUUAGUUAAUAUUUAUGUGCUGAUACCUGGUCCAUCUUAACCACCUUUUAUGUGCUGCGGAUCCAUAUAUCUAACUACUAAAUUGUCCUCCAGGUUCUUCAGUCACUAGUCCUAAAUUGAAAACUCAUCAUUCCUUUUUAAUAUUCUGUUGGUGACUGCUCCAGUUGCUCAGUCUAGAAAUUCAUAUUUUCACUCUUGAUUCCCCCUGCUAAUCUUCUCUGUAUCCAACUGGCCUUUAAACCUUGUUAAUUUUAUGUCCUGAAUAUCUACCUUCUUUUCCCCUGCUCUGUUACCCUAGUUCAGGCCCUCAUUUAAUUUUAUCUCUGAGUAUUUUGAGUCAUUUUUUUAUUAUAUCACUGCUAUAGUGUUUUUUUUUUUUUUAAGUGUUUAUUUUUAGAGAGAGAGCAUAUCCAUGAGCAGGGGAGGGGCAGAGGGAGAGGGAAAGAGAAUCCCAAGCAGGCUCUGUCUGCUCUGUCACCAUUGAAGCUCGAUCCCACGACCCACGAGACCAUGACCUAGGUUGAAAUCAAUAGUAGGAUGCUCAACUGACUGAGCCACCCAGGUGACUGUACGAUAUUCUUUUUAAUACUUACAUCUAAUCAUGUUUCAGUCUUGCUUAGAAUUACCAUGCUUAGGUAAAUUAGCAAUAUAAGUUAUCCACAUUAUUUUGAGGCAUUAUUAAUGUUUAUGUCAAUAACAGGUUAAAGAGGGACUGUCUGAGAUAAGCUGAGUUGUGUGGUUAUAUCAACUAGGUAAUAACUAAUUUAUCCUUUCCUUUAAUAAAUAUGUCAGACACAAUACUAAAAGCCAAGGUUGUAGAAAGAAAUUGGAUAUAGUCCCUGUUUUUCAAUAACUUAAGAGACAGUCAUGAAAACAUCAGUAAAAUGUUAAGGUUAUUAGUGACAAAGGUAUGGAUAGGAUACUUUGGAUUGCAAGUGGGAGAGGAAAAGCUUUGAGGAGCAGUUAAUUGAAUCUUAAACACUGUGAAUAGCUGUCUGUAUGAUAUCCAGAAGGGAGGUCUUUCCAGGCAGAGAGGAACAACAGCAAAGGCAAAGUAUAUGGGUAGAAUAAGAACCCUCUCUGUUAGCAUGUAUUCCUCAUUGGGGUGAUAUCAUCCUCAAAGGGACAAAAAUUAUUUCUUAGGGGCAUAGUGAAAAAAAUCUUACUGUGGCUUGUAGCCUUCUAAAACUAAGUUCUCCCUGACAGAAUUUCAUUCCUUAAUAUUUGAUUUGGAGUGGGGGCAGCAUUUAGGAAAAAUGCCUAUAAAUGUACUUUGGAAAGGAUGUGAUAAUGAAUAAAGGUUGCAAAACAUCACAUAUUGAUUGUGGGGUGUGGUACAUGGUGCUGGAUGUUAAAUGUUGAAGCUGGAUAUACUAGCUGGGUUGGAUCAUUUUAGGGAUUUGAACUUGAUUUUAUGAAUAAAGGAGAAACAUUGGAGGGUUUAGAGCCUGAAGAUAAGCUUUACAAAGAUUACUCUGGGCAUUGUAGAAGAUGUAUUGGGGAGGAAGUACGGUGCUAUAACAAAGGCAGGAAGGCUUAUAGGUAGGGUGAACAUGCAACAUUUUGUCCAAAACAGCCUACUUUUCUGAAUGAAAGAUAAGACCUUCAAUGAUUUUACCAGGAUAACAGGGAAACCAGGAGCUCGGGUCCUGGUUAUAGGAAACAAAUGAAGUAGUUCAUAUGGGAUAGCAGUAGCAUAUGGGAUAAUGAGAUAGUGAGGAGGUAGAAUUGGCCCAAAGUGUUAACUGGCUUUUUUUUUUUUUUUUUCUCGAAGUUUGAAAUUGACUAUAAUACACGUACGGUAAAGUCCAUAUACUGUAAGUAUAUUGCCAGCUUAAUUUUUACAUAUAUAUUUAGGUAUCACUGAAAUCAAAGUAUAGAAUAUUACCACCACUUCAGAAACUGCCCCUUUGCCCCUUCCAAUCAAUGCCCUUUCCAAGAGGAAAGCACUGUUGUCACAUCUUUUACCAUAAAUUUGUUCUGCCUGUUUUCCAGCAACCAAGAGGACUAUGAAGCUACCUUGUAUUUUUGUGUUUUAUCUCUGGACUGAACUUUGUACCUCCUCUCUUGGUGAUUUCUUUGAUCUACACCUGUCUUUCCUUUGUAUCUUAACUCAUCUUUUGGCUACCCUUUUGAAUUGUCUGCCUCACACUGUUCAGACCUACUUUUGAGACAGGUGUUUCUCAGCCCCAGAAGUUGCAUUUGAAGGCCAAAAUACACCCUGCCGUUAGGUUCCUCUCAAGCCUUUCUAAUAGCACCAGGUUAAGUCUGGCAAAACCUUCCUGUCUUCUGCUUGUUGGGAACAGGUUUUGGCUGGGUGCAAGAGCAAAGCAGAAGUUUAGAUCAUUUCUAGAUUCUUGAUUUGGGUAACUGCAUGUUUAAGAGUACAUUAUUGGGGCACUUGGGUGGCUCAGUCAGGUGUGUGUCCGACUUUGGCUCAGGUCAUGAUCUCACACUUGUGAAUUCAAGUCCCACGUUGAGCUCUGUGGUCACAGCUCACAGCCUGGAGCCUGCUUCGGAUUCUGUGUCUCCCCUCUCUCUCUGCCCCUCCCCUGCUCACGCUCUUUCUGUCUCAAAAAUAAGUAAACAUUUUUAAAAAAUUUUAAAAAAGAGUGCAUCAUUAAGGGGAAGAAUUAGGGUAGGAGGAGAUUCAAUUUUGGAAGGGGUUUGAGACUCUGUGCAAGGGAUACAGAAUAGGGAUGCUCAUUAAGAAUUUUGAGCUUAAGAUCAAACCAGGCUUUGGAUCUGAGUUGAUAUGAGAGUCUAUAGCAUGUUGAUUGUAGGUGAAGUCAUAAGAUUGGUAGGAAUGACCAGGAUGAAAAGCAGAAUGAGAGUAGGACAGCCCCUUUGGGUGCUCUCCUGUUAAAGGGAUGGGACAAGGAAAAGAAAACUGCAAAAGAGUGAAAAGAAGUUGUUAAAGAGGUAGGAGGAGAACAGAAGAGUGCUGCUAUAGGAGGGUGUUAGACAGAAAUCAAAGCCUUAUCAGUAAUGUCAGAUACUGUAGAGAGUUCAAGAAAAGUGAGGACUGAUAAAUUCUUUGGAUUUUGUCUAUCAGAAUGAUUUCACUGGAUUGAUGAAUAAGGAUCCUGGACAUAAGUCCCAAGAAAGUGAAGGCAGCAAGUACCAUUUGUGAUAUGUAUAAACAGAUAAAGUCCUCCAUGAUUUUUUACCUGGCACUCUAGCCUUAUCAUCCCCCACCCCAAACAUAGGCCUUUUAACUACUUACAAAUAUCUUAACGCUGUACUUCUCAACUUAGGCUAUGUAUAUUUCUCAAUUUAGGUAAUUUUUUUUGAAUGCGUAUGCCCACCCUUUUUUUCUUGGAUUAGAACCUUGUGGAAUGGAGUGUUAAGCAUUAGUACUUACAGAGAACUUCUUAAGUAGUUGUGAUAUAUAGAUAGCAGUGAGAAGCAUUGUUCAUUGUGUCACAUUCUCCUGUCUCUUUGCUUUACACAAGAGGGGAAAGUAUGGUGCAGUAUUUAUAGCCCUGGAAUUUUUGUCAAGUGUGGGUUCCAGCACUGAGACGUUGAGUGACCCUGGGCAAGUUACCUAACUUUUUUAAGACUGAAUAUCAUUUUGGGGUUUUUGUGUGGACUAAAUGAGAUAAUAUAUGUAAAGUAUUUAGCAACGUGCCUGUGAUCAACAUUCAAUAAAUGGUAGCCAUACGUACUAGCUUGCCAUUUCCUUAGUGGAAAGCCAUCCUCUGGCUUGGCAAAUUCAGUUUGCUCACUUUUCCACUCCUCAGUGUUCCCAGGAUAUUUGACACCUUCCUCUACCACAGUAAUUACUUUGUUAUGAUUACUUGCAUGUUUGUCUCUCUGGCUGGUCUGUAAGCUCCUUGAAAAUAAGAUAUCUUUAUGUUCCAGUGUCUAGUAUGCAAUACUUGGUACAUAGUAGGUUUCCAGAUAUUUUUUAAAUGACUUUAAAAAGAAAAGCAAUGUGAGGCACCUGGGUGGCUCAGUUGGUUAAGCAUUUGACUCUUGCUUUCUGCCCAGGUCAUGAUCUCACAGUUUGUGAGAUGGAGCUGGCGUUGGGCUUUGUGCUAACAGCACAGAACCUGCUUGGGAUUCUUUCUUCCUCUCUCUCUUCCCCUCCCCUGCUCCUGUGUGUGCUCUAUCUCAAAGUAAAUAAACUUACAAAAAAAGGAAUGUGAAAAAUACUUACUGUUCCCCUAUUCUUCUAGUGGUGGUUUCUUUUGGUCUAAUAUUUGAAGUGCUGGGAUUAAAAGACUGAUGAAGUUUGGCCAAAAUGGCAAACAUUUGCUAUUAAUAUCCUCUAAUUAAAACAUGAGUAAAGUACAGUUGCCAUGAAGAGACUGUUUUACCUUGGAAUUCAUCAUAAGUAGUACAGAUAGAAACUCCUUUUUUGUUUAGUUUUAAAACACACACACACACACACACACACACGAACAAAAAACACAUGUGCAGGAAAUUUCAGAGAAAUACAGAUAAAUACCAGUUUUAAUUUCUCAUAGAGUUUCAACCAGAUGACUUUAAAACUUUCCUGGGCAAAAAUUUCAUGCUUAGCUAGAUGCUGAUAUAAUUGCCUUUUUACAAUCAGAAAAAGGCUUUAAAAAACAAACAAAACACAAAUUUUUAUUAGAAAAGCCAAAGAGGGAGCUAGGAAUGUAAGAAGAUAAAAUUUAGUAUUCUUGUAGUUAUUUAUCCAUUUCAGAAUUUAGAAUAGUGAUCUUUAAAUGUAGACUUGUAGAGGUUUUUCCUGAAUUGGCAAAAGUGCGCCAUUGUACUUAGAGUCAUUUUUGAGUGAGUCACUGUGCACAUCCCUGAGGGUGGCAGAACAAAGAUUCUUUUGUGCUUUUCUACAGCAGAUGCACAUUCAGAGGGUUUUUUGGAAGUAAAAGAAUUUAUUUAUGCUUGUGGGGCCCUUUGGCCUUCAUUUGUAAAUUCAACUGGAUAGAAAAGGAAUAGACAUCUGGAUGGGGCCUUUAUUAGACAACAUCUCUUCUGGGCACCUCAUUUUACAUGUAUUGGAGAUUCCCACCUAGAGAAAAAACUGUAGCCAAUGAGGAAUUGAGACACCCUAAGAUUUUGUUUUGGAGAGACUGAGGAGCUGCCCCAAGAGAAUUCUGCAGAAAGGAGGAGCAUCCAGGCAUGAUGAGCUUGACUGUGUGACAAAGUCCUGUUCUUUGGAAGGGAUGGAAUGACUGAGCUCUGUAACAUUGUAGUCAUUAUUUGAUUUAACCUUGGACCAGCCUAUUUAAACUGAGAUAUUGCUGUAAAUAAGAAGUGAACGAGCCACUUUAUUAAGAACAUGAGAUUCUGGAUGCCUGAGCAGCCCCUAUUUGAUGUUUUCCACUCUCCACUACUUUGCCAUAAACUAAAGCUUUGGCAGCUGGAGGGCUUUAGGCUUUGUCAUGUGGCAGAGAUAGUGAGGUUCACUGGACAGGACACUUAGUACAAAACUAAAGUAGUAUCACUGCCAGCAAGUAUUUGUGAAUGUAUAUAUAGCACUCUUAGAAAUACUUUAGCCGGUGAGGUCAAGAGCUAGUGAAAUGAGUUGCAUACUGAUCCAGGAACUAAGCUUCUGAGAGGUGAAAUGUCUUGCUCAAGGUCACAUGAUUCAUCGGUGACUUCCUCAGUUCAGUAGCACCCCACUUCUCAGAACAGUGAAGUUUAGGCCAUAUUUUAAGCUUUGAACUUUUGUUUAUCAUCUGCAUAGAUGUCUAAUAUUUUCCUGAAUAAAUUGUUACUGUUUUAUCUUGCCUGUGAUGUAUGCAGUAUUUUAAGGUGCUGUGUCAGUUCAGUGGAGGAUAUCAAUGUAAUGGAAGUUCAGAAUUCUCAAGUUUUAUGUAGAAUGAAAACAGGUGUGUUUGAUGUCUGUAUUGGUGAUUUUUUACACCAUUCUGUUUGAUAACUUAUAUUUUUGUUUUCAAAAGGUACUAGUGUAUUCAGUUUUGGCUUUUUUUAAAAGUUUGUUUUUUAGAGAGAGAGAAAGACAAAAAGUGUGAGCGGGGGAGGGGCAGAGAGAGAGGAGACAAAGAAUCCGAAGCAGGCUCCAGGCUCUGAGCUGUCAGCACAGAGCCCAAUGCAGGGCUCGAACUCACAAACUAUGAGAUCAUUGCCUGAGCUGAAGAUGGAUGGUUAACUGACUCAGCCACCCGGGUGCCCCCAAUUUUGGCUUUUUAAGAGCAUUCAACUAAUAAUAAAAGGCUUUAUCACAGAUUUUUUUUUUUUCUUUUACACAAAAGAGUUGUGUAACAGGUACCAUCUGGAGUUUGGAGUAUUUAUGCCUUAAUACCUGCCUUAAAUGACUGAGGCAGAGUUGAAUACAUAAUUUUUGAGGAGGAGUGCCUAGUGGAUAUUUGUGUGGUAAAUAUUUUUUAAGUACUAUUUUUAAAUGCCAGGGGUCAAAGAUUAAAGUUCUUUCAUUAGGGGAGGAGAUAGGCAAAUACACAGACAAUUAAAAUACCCUGUUAACUACUGUAUAGCUGUAAAAGGAGGCACUCAGGAGUUUACAGAAGGACUCUGAGAGGGAGAAGUAAAGGGUUGGCAGGUGUCAUUCUUGUUGUCUUAGAAAAGGGAAUGCUGCCUUGAGUAUAGAUGAGAAUAUGUAAAUGUUAGAUGAAGAAGGGACAGUUUGUGUUUCCUGAAAAGAGAACUGCAUUUGUCAAGGCCACAAGAUGAUCUUAACACAAAGGUGCAAGUUGCCUGGGCACACAAGUAGUAACAGAGAUGAGCCUGGAGGCAUGGCCAGGGUCCAGAUCUCGUGAAGAACUGCUUUCUCUUUGUUAAGGAGUUUCUAUAUGCUUUUUAGAAAGUUAACUCUGGCAGGACCACGAAGAAUGGAUUACAGGCAGUCAGACUUAGAUGCAAGAAGACUGUUUUCUGUUACCCAGUGAGAAAUAAUAAAUUUCAAAAUUGCUCCAGGUGGGAUCGUGAACAGAGAUACUUAUGAAAUAGAAUUGAUAGAUUUCUGGCCAGAGCGACUGAAAAAGAGAGCAUCACGUAAAUCAGGGAACCUAGGAAGAAGACCCAGCCAGGAGUAUAAACAAUGAGUUUAGCUUUGCAUUUAUUACACUUCAGAUGCUGAUGGAUCUCCCAGGUGAAAGGGUUCAUUAUGUUCUAGAAUGUGUAGUUUCUAAGUUUUACUAGAGAACUCUGGGCUAGAAAUACAAAUAUUGGCGUCAUUGGUAUAUAUAUGGUAGUUACAACUAUGGAUGUGGUGGGUGGAGAGUCUCUAGUGAAGAAAGGGUGGAUGUCACAGUGAUGGAAACAUUUAUAAACAUUUAACGGACUAGGAAAAGAAGGCAAAGCCUGUGAUGGAGACUCAGGAGCCUCUGGAGCAGAAAGGCAAUAAUAGCAAUAAGAAUGGCUAAGAUUUAUAUGCUGGGGUACUUAUUGGAUGCCUGUUACUGUUAAAAAAAACAAAACAAAACAAAACAACACCUUUAUACACCUUUAAUCCUUCCAAAACCACUCAGAAACAACGUGCUGUCCACAUUUUACAUAUGGGGAGAUGGAAUCACAGAAAAAUUUGUCUAAAGGCACACAGCUAGGAGACUACAGAGUCAGGAUUCAAAUCUGGGAUUUCUAAUUUCACAUUCUGUGUUUGUAAUUGUUACCAAAUGUUUUCCAUUAGGACAAGAACCCACAGAAGACCAUAUGAUAGAAGGGAUGGGAGGAAAAGAGUUUAGGAGGGAGGAGUGAAUGAAUGAUGAAUAUGUCAGCAAAUUCUGUAAAACAAAUGUGUGUAGAGAUAAGGAUUGAAAAGUGCAUGUGAAACUUGGAAUUACCAUAUCUUGGAUAAUUGUGUAAUAUAUAGUGGGAUCAAAAAAGUGAACUUUAGCCUAAAGUUUGAAUUUAGAAGUAAUUAGAUACUUGAUCUUUUGAUGCAUUAUCAUUUCAGAGAUUAAUUAUUGGAGUUCUAAUGUUUAAGCAUAUCACUUGGGAUUUUCAGGUCUAAAAAUUAAAAUUUCAGGCUAUAAUUUUUUAAUGUUAAAGUUUUUAUUAAUAAAACUUAAUGUUCAAGUAAUUAGCUAUAUAAUGUAUUUUAAUCUAAAAAUAAAAUUACCAGUCUGCUAUAGCAAAUGUAUACCCAAAUAUAUAGUAAGACUAAAUUCUAAUAAACUGGUGGAAUGAGAUAAGCUUUUCCAGAGAACAUUCUUGGGAGCAGUGUGUCAUGGACACUGGUCAAAAUAUGGUGAUGAUUGGGGAUGCACAAGAAAAGAUAAUGAAAAAAAAGAAUGUAGGUAAUUAAAUAAGACUUGAAAUUUAAGGAAAGCUAGAAAUGUCUGUAACCCUGUGAAUAAGCAGGACAUAGUUGUAUGUUGCCCACCCCCAUCUUUGUUUUUUGAGAAUUGCAAAACUAUAGAAACAUGGGAAGAGUAGUAUCUUCCCUAUUUUUAGUAUCCUUUAUUACAUACUCUUCAUUCAGAGUGAUAUUUUGCCAUAUUUAUCUUACCUCCAUCUCUCUAGCAUAAAUUUUAUUUUGCUAAGCCAUUUGAAAGUAAAUUGGGGCUUGAACUCACAACCCUGAGACUAAGUCAUAUGCUCUUCUGACUGAGCCAGCCAGGUGCCCCAUGAUGUUCUUCAAAUAUUGUCACAUCAGAAGACACAUUAUCAGUUCUUUCUUUUAUGGCAGAUGCUAAUUUGGAUUACCUGUAUUUCUUUGUUGUAAAGGUACAGUGCUGCAAGUUACAAGUGAUCUUUGAGGUGAUAUUUUGAGAAUGUAUGGAUAUAUUGUUUUUUGCCAGUAUUUGACAAAUACUUUAGCAUUCAUUGAUGAUCUUUGCCUAAAUAACUACUACUUUGCUGUUAGAAAGUGAUAAUUUUCUAAUUGUAUAUUUCUCCCACAAUUAUUAGCUGGCAUUCUGUAUAGAACUUUCCCCACCUUCCCCUGGCCUCUCCCUUUAAAAAACAAUCACUCUGAUUUCAGGGAUUAUUUUUGUGUUUUUAAUAUUGUCAUUAUUCCCUUUGAUUAUUAGAUUACCCCACAUUUAGCCAGUGGGAGCCCUUUCAAAGUCUGCUACUAUGUCCUUUUGACAUGACCCCAUUGGUCUGUAAGUAAUUUCUUAACUCUCUGGCACAAAAAGAUGUUCGAGGCUUGUACUUUCCUUGCUCCACUACUGAAAUCAGUCACUUACCCAAGGAACCCUGGUUCUUAUGUUAGAAAAUGGUGUUUAGAUAGCAGGGACUGGGCUCAAGGUGUGGUAAGUGUGUGUAGCUCUUUAUUGCCGUUUUGUAGAAUAUAUUUAUACCUUUGUGGGUGAGAAAACCAGUGAGAUAGAGUUCUAUGUUUAAUGCAUGGUCUUGUUAACUUGACACUAUUGUCAGAAACAUUCAAAAUAGCUUUAAUAGUCUGCUGACUGUAAUUUAGUGUUUUAUAAAUUUAUGAUCCAAACCUUUAUAUAAAUGCAUAGUACUAACAUUUGUUAACUGUUUACCAUGUCAUCAUCUCUCUGCUACACAUGUAACAUUUUAUAUUCAGAGAGAGUUAAUCAUUCCUAUUGUACAGAUAAUAAAGGUUAUGUGAUUACUAACUGAUAGAGGCGUAAUUUGAAUCCAAGGCUGUCUCCAGGUUCCCAGGUUUUUAACCACACUGUCUUCAGCCUAACAUUGAUUUGUAGAAGAUUCUUCACCAUAAGUUUUUAUUAUAUAGACCCGUAGCUGCAGAACGUAUGUAUCUUGAAAUUGAAUCUGUACUGUCCUUAGGAUCCACCCUGAGAGAUUUUUCAUUGUUAAAAUUCCAGGGAUGGACUUGCUUUCCAAGUAACAAAGAUAAUAAAAUAUCUUGGUUAAUGAAUGUUGUAGAUAAUUGAUGUUGUAUUGAAAGUACUGUGUGACGAAUUAAGCAUAUCAUAGAUAAGAAAUUUGUUAUUUGUAGAGUUGAAGAAACAAAAAGCCUUCCAGUUUGAGUUUUCUAAGUUUUGUUUGGGUUUCUAAGCAUGUGUAGAAUGGCCGUCAGCAGAAUUGAAAGGUGGGAUUAUUCUAGGAGCAGCACACUGGUUGGCACAAAAUUGAGGAAGGCGCGACCUCUUAUUUUUAAGUGUAUACAUAAAAGGGUCAUUAAUUCCUCAUACAGAGCUGCAAAUAGGAAUUAAUAUAUCAUUUAAAAAUGAUAUUGAAAACCAGUAGAAUGUACGUACAAUGAAUGCAUUAGGUAUGGAUUGUUUGAAGAGUGUAAAAAGAUUUCUGCCUUCUUGUAUGAUGGCAGUGUUACCACCCACCUCAGUUUGCUCAUGUUCAUUCACAUAACUGGCUUGGAGAGUAUGGUUGAUCUGUUUUCCGAAAUACUGAGUCAUCACUACUGCCUCAUCAUUUUUUGCCCAAGUGGAACCCAUUAUUUUAUUACCUAAUCCAGAGCUGAUAUUUGUUCUUCUCAUAGCCUUGGUUAAUUUCUGCAGUAUGUUAUUUUAGUUACAGAACAGGUGGCACAUUCUGGUGUUGCUGAUCUGGAAUGUCGUGACUUCCCUCUUUCAGACUCAGUAGAGCAGCUUUCAAGUACUGUAGAUUAAUUCCUCCUUGAAUCUAGCAUUUAAAUUAUUUACUACCAAGAAAUAUCUGUGAGACUUUUAACCUGUCUCUGUCAAGUUUGUUUGUUUCUACUUUCUCUGUCAGCUUUUAUUGAUCUUCAGCACACCACGCCUAGUAAUAAUAAUACCUCAAGCCUGUGUCAGAGGUAAUUGGUACAAAAACUACGCAAGAAACCAGAGCAUGUGGCUGGUUCAUUCGUUAAGAGCAUGAUAGGAUGAUCAGUACUCAACUUAAGAUGCAAAGGACACCUUCUGUAGGUUUCCAGAACAUAAUUUAUAUCUGUGUAACAGUCUUGUGUUCUGCAAACUCUAGCCACUUUGUUGUCCCUAGACUGCCAGCUCCUUCUCCACAACUAAAGAUACCAGCAGACGGAUUUAAAUACUAUUUAUUCUUAUCUUCAUGGAAUGGAAAUACUAUCAAAUCUCAGGGAACAUCAGCUUAGAUUAAUGUCUGCAAGAGCACGCUAUGAGAGAUACAGUGGCAAUCAAAUUCUUUUUUGUUCAGAAACUGUUGCCCGAUGUUGGUAUAUCCUGCUUUCUGGAUCUGUGCUUAUGAAAGACUCCAUGGUCUUGCCUCCUUGCAGUUUUGGUAAGCAGUUUGGAGGAAAAAGAGGAUGUGAUUGUCUUGUAUUAGAGCCUUCAGAAAUGAUUGUGGUAGAAAAUUCCAAAGAUAAUGAAGAUAGUAUUCUACAAAGAGAAAUUCCUGCCAGACAGUCUCGACGAAGGUUUCGGAAAAUUAAUUAUAAAGGAGAGCGCCAAACCAUUACCGAUGACGUGGACAUUAACAGCUAUCUUUCUCUUCCAGCCGAUCUUACCAAGAUGCACAUCACAGACAACCCUCAUCCACAGGUGACUCACGUGUCUUCUAGUCAGUCUGGUUGUAGUAUCGCCAGUGACUCUGGGAGCAGCAGUUUAUCUGAUAUCUACCAGGCUACAGAAAGUGAGGUAGGAGAUGUAGAUUUAACACGUCUUCCAGAAGGACCUGUUGAUUCUGAAGAUGAGGAAGAGGAAGAUGAAGAGAUUGAUCGAACAGAUCCACUACAGGGGCGCGAUCUUGUUCGAGAAUGUCUUGAGAAAGAACCUGCAGACAAAACUGAUGAUGACAUUGAACAGUUACUGGAGUUUAUGCACCAGCUCCCUGCUUUUGCAAACAUGACCAUGUCUGUAAGGAGAGAACUCUGCUCAGUAAUGAUUUUUGAAGUGGUAGAGCAGGCCGGAGCUGUUAUUCUGGAAGAUGGGCAAGAGCUUGACUCAUGGUAUGUUAUUUUAAACGGCACUGUAGAAAUCACUCAUCCAGAUGGAAAAGUUGAAAAUCUCUUUAUGGGAAAUAGUUUUGGAAUUACUCCCACUCUGGAUAAGCAGUAUAUGCAUGGAGUUGUUAGGACUAAAGUAGAUGAUUGUCAGUUUGUCUGCAUAGCCCAGCAGGAUUAUUGGAGAAUUUUAAAUCAUGUGGAGAAAAACACCCAUAAAGUUGAGGAAGAGGGAGAAAUUGUUAUGGUGCAUGAACACCGUGAACUAGAUCGGAGCGGAACCAGGAAAGGACACAUUGUAAUCAAGGCAACACCUGAACGUCUCAUCAUGCAUUUAAUAGAAGAGCAUUCCAUCGUGGACCCAACUUAUAUAGAAGAUUUCCUACUAACUUACAGAACAUUUCUUCAAAGUCCUUUGGAUGUUGGGAUCAAACUGUUGGAAUGGUUUAAAAUUGACAGCUUAAGGGAUAAGGUAACACGGAUUGUGUUAUUAUGGGUAAAUAAUCACUUUAAUGAUUUUGAAGGUGAUCCUGCUAUGACUCGAUUUCUGGAGGAAUUUGAAAAAAAUCUGGAAGAUACAAAAAUGAAUGGUCAUCUCCGGUUAUUGAAUAUUGCCUGUGCUGCAAAGGCCAAGUGGAGGCAGGUUGUGCUGCAAAAGGCUUCCCGGGAGUCCCCUCUGCAUUUCAGCCUUAAUGGGGGAAGUGAGAAGGGAUUUGGUAUUUUUGUUGAAGGAGUAGAACCCAGUAGCAAAGCUGCUGAUGCGGGACUGAAACGUGGUGAUCAGAUAAUGGAAGUAAAUGGACAAAACUUUGAGAACAUUACAUUUGCGAAGGCCGUUGAAAUUUUAAGGAAUAAUACUCACCUUGCACUUACUGUGAAGACCAACAUUUUUGUGUUCAAAGAGUUACUUAGUAGGACUGAACAAGAAAAAUAUGGUGUUCCUCAUAUUCCUAAAAUUGCUGAAAAAAAAAGUAAUCGCCAUUCAAUCCAAGAUGUACCAGGAGAUAUCGAACAGACAUCACAGGAGAAAGGAAAUAAGAAAAUAAAAGCAAAUACUGUUUCAGGUGGAAGAAACAAAAUAAGGAAAAUUUUGGAUAAAACACGGUUUAGUAUCCUGCCUCCAAAACUGUUCAGUGAUGGAGGCCUGAGCCAGUCGCAAGAUGACAGCAUUGUGGGAACAAGACACUGCAGGCACAGUCUGGCUAUAAUGCCUAUUCCUGGAACACUCUCUUCCAGCAGCCCUGAUCUCCUGCAGCCUACCACCAGCAUGUUGGAUUUUUCUAAUCCUUCAGAUAUUCCUGAUCAAGUUAUAAGAGUUUUCAAAGCAGAUCAACAAAGUUGCUACAUUAUCAUCAGUAAAGACACUACAGCUAAAGAAGUUGUUUGUCAUGCUGUUCAUGAAUUUGGUUUGACUGGUGCAUCUGACACAUAUUCUCUCUGUGAAGUUUCUGUUACUCCUGAGGGUGUCAUAAAACAGAGAAGACUUCCGGACCAGUUCUCCAAAUUAGCUGAUAGAAUUCAGCUCAAUGGAAGGUAUUAUUUAAAAAAUAACAUGGAAACAGAAACUUUAUGUUCAGAUGAAGAUGCCCAAGAACUAGUUAAGGAAAGCCAACUGUCCAUGCUGCAGCUCAGUACCAUUGAGGUGGCCACUCAGCUAUCAAUGAGGGACUUUGAUUUGUUUCGUAAUAUUGAGCCUACUGAAUACAUCGAUGACCUUUUUAAGUUAGAUUCCAAAACAGGAAAUACUCACUUGAAAGAGUUUGAGGACAUUGUUAACCAGGAGACAUUCUGGGUUGCUUCAGAGAUUUUAACUGAACCAAAUCAGCUCAAACGAAUGAAGAUUAUUAAGCAUUUUAUUAAAAUUGCACUUCAUUGUAGAGAAUGUAAGAACUUCAAUUCCAUGUUUGCAAUAAUAAGUGGCUUGAACCUGGCAUCUGUAGCACGACUCAGAGGUACUUGGGAAAAAUUACCAAGCAAGUAUGAGAAACACCUCCAGGAUCUACAAGACCUUUUUGAUCCAUCUAGAAACAUGGCAAAAUAUAGAAAUAUUCUUAGUAGUCAAAGCAUGCAGCCUCCAAUUAUUCCACUCUUCCCUGUUGUCAAGAAAGAUAUGACAUUUCUACAUGAAGGGAAUGACUCCAAAGUAGAUGGUUUAGUGAAUUUUGAGAAGCUAAGAAUGAUUGCCAAGGAAAUCCGUCAAGUUGUUCGAAUGACUUCUGCUAACAUGGACCCAGCUAUGAUGUUUCGACAGAGGAAGAAGAGGUGGCGGAGUCUGGGGUCAUUGAGUCAAGGCAGCACAAACUCUAACAUGCUAGAUGUUCAAGGAGGUGCUCACAAGAAAAGGGCACGCCGCAGCUCUCUGCUCAACGCCAAGAAGCUAUACGAGGAUGCCCAAAUGGCAAGAAAAGUGAAGCAGUAUCUUUCCAGUCUGGAUGUGGACACAGAUGAGGAAAAGUUUCAGAUGAUGUCAUUGCAGUGGGAGCCUGCCUAUGGUACCUUGACUAAGAAUUUCAAUGAGAAAAGAUCAGCCAAGUCAUCAGAAAUGUCUCCAGUGCCUAUGAGAUCAGCGGGCCAAACAGCUAAAGCACAUUUGCAUCAGCCUCACAGAGUGAGCCAGGCACUCCAAGUGCCAGCUGUUAAUUUGCACCCCAUCAGGAAGAAGGGACAAGCAAAAGACCCCGCCACAUUAUGUACAAAUUUACCUCAGAAAGUUUUAGGGACAACUGAAGAAAUAAUUGGUAAGAAACAUCCAGAAGAUACGAUCUCUGUGGCAUCAUCCUUACAUUCUAGUCCUCCUGCAUCUCCUCAAGGCUCUCCUCGCAAAGGUUGUACACUUAUGCCAUCAACUAAAUCUGACAACUUGUCUGACUCCAGCCAUAGUGAAAUUUCUUCACGAUCCAGCAUCGUGAGCAAUUGUUCUGUUGACUCCAUGUCUACAGCUCUACAGGAUGAACGGUGUUCUUCACAUGCUAUGGCGGUCCCUGAAUCCACUGGACCAUUGGAAAAAACAGAACACUCCUCAGGGAUAGGAGACCAUAGUCAGCUGGGCCCUGGGUGGACACUGUCAAAGCCAUCUCUAGUCAAGAGUUUAGCUGUGUCUUCUUCUAUGAGUAAUGAAGAGAUUUCUCAUGAACAUAUCAUUUUAGAAGCAGCCGAUAGUGGUCGUGGAAGCUGGACUUCCUGUUCAAGCAGCUCCCAUGACAACUUCCAAAGCCUUCCAAACCCAAAAGGCUGGGAUUUUUUGAACUCUUACCGACAGACCCAUUUGGAUGGCCCCAUUGUUGAAGUUGAACCCCCUGACUGUGAGCCCUAUUCCUGUCCUAAAGGCUGCUCCCGAACUUGUGGUCAAUGUAAAGGAAGCCUAGAGACUAAUCAGAUGAGACAGAGUUGGGCCUCCUCCAGUUCUUUGUCUGACACAUAUGAACCAGACUAUGGGACAGUUAAAAGGAGAGUGUUGGAGAGCACCCCACUUGAGUCCUCUGAAGGCUUGGACCCCAAGGAUGGCACUGACCCAGUUUAUAAAACUGUUACUUCAAGUACAGAAAAGGGCUUGAUUGUGUACUGUGUCACCUCACCCAAGAAGGAGGAUAGGUAUAGGGAGCCACCUCCCACUCCUCCGGGAUACAUGGGCAUUUCUUUAGCGGACCUAAAGGAAGGACCCCACCUACACCUAAGACCUCCAGAUUAUAGUGUGGCAGUGCAGAGGUCAAAGAUGAUGCAUAACAGCCUCUCUAGACUUCCACCAGCUUCUCUCGGUAGCAGCCCCGUGGCCUGUGUUCCAUCGAAGAUUGUAACUCAGCCUCAGAGGCAUAUUUUGCAACCAUCCCAUCCUAAACUAGCAGAUGUGACUGACGCAGAUAGCGAAACAGAUGAAAAUGAACAGGUUUCAGCAGUCUAGACUUUGGAGCACCCAUUUGAAGUUUACUGAAAGUCGUCGGGGAAGGAGUGGGUAGAACCACGUCAUGAUUCCGCAGGCCAUUGCCAACAAAAAGCUUGCUGCUGCUGCUAAUCCAGAGGUUUCAUUCCCCGUACCCUGAGCAAUGAAAUAGCCCUGAGUUAUGCUUCCUUUUAUUUAAUCCUUGUAGAUGCAUAGUUUCUUCAGCUAUGGAUAUUGUGCCUGGAAACCAGUCUUCACUUCACACACCAGACCUGCCUUGGGACCACAGUUACUAGAACAGAUUCAAACUCAGAGUCCUCCCUGUGUACAUCAGAUUUUUCUUGAAGAAGUUAUUUUUAAGAGAGUAGUGAUAGUAUUUCCAAGCCAUAGCUUGGGUUAAUGGACAAAUUGAAAAUGUCUGCCAAUACCAAGGAUACUCUUGUGUAUUUGAAAAGUAACUUAUUAUUUCAAGUUUUGUGGUUUUCGUUGUAUUGGGGAGCUACCAUUAGUGGAUGUUUAUGUUUUAGGCCAUAAAACUGUCUCUGGUCUGAACAAACUGAAGUCAUCUUUACAGGAUGGUAUGCUUAAUGUAUACAGAGAUGAACUUGAUCUGUUGCACCAGUGCAAUGUAGGGUCUCCGUUUGAGUGGGGAAGGAAGCCGUAUUUGGUUGAGGUGUUAGGAGGGAAGAUACUGCCAUCUGCUGAUUUGGAAGGCCAAAUGAAGCUGCCACAGGGUUUCUUAUCAGUCCUUUGGGAAAGGGAGGCUAUAAUUAGGUCGGUAGCCACCCUCAUCUCUAAAGAAUGAAGUUUUCCUUAAACAUGUAUACCAACCCUUUUUGAAGUGAAUGUCGUGCUGCAUCUACCUAAAAGUAUAAAUCCAGUAAGUAGGGAAUGGGUUCUAGAGAGUUCUACAGAAACCCAAAACAAAAAUUUUUAAAUGCUCAAAUAAUGGAGUUCUUUUUUUAAGAAGGAAGUGCAAUCAUUGGUGUGUAAUCAUGGAGAUGAAUUAAGCUUUAUGUAAUGUUCUGCAACAUCCCCUCCACUCAAUCUCACAGCAUGGGGCUGUGUUCAUAAACCUUGCGGCCCCCAGCUGCCUGCAGCACAGCUCAUUAGUGUACCAAGGUAUUAAUUGGUUGAAAAUUUUAGGGGGGACAGAGGAGCUAGAAUUAUGGGAAUGAUUCUCUCUUGGCUCUCAGUUUAAGCCCUUGAGAGGAAAGAGAUCUAUGUUUUAACAGUCUGUUGGGCAUGGCGCUCCUUAACUGUUUAGUUAAAAUUUCCGUGACUGUUUACUGGGCGACCUAGACCUUACACAUUUUUACAAAUUAAAUACGGUGUUUUCUAUAUCUUAAGUUUAAAUUUAAUCAUGUUUUAAAAAUGUAAAUGCAGGUGAGAGCUUAAUUAACUUCUAUGACUACCAAAAAAAGAAAAAAAAAAAAAAAAAAGCCAAAGCCAUUCAUGUGCACUACCCAGAUCAACUUGGAGCCAAAAUGGGUUUACUUCUGAGUACUAGUUGUCUAUAUGUGAAUUUAUAGGAUUUAGCUGGUUUGUGAUUUCCUUUUCAAGACUGUGUUUCCUCUUUUUUUCCUAGCUGUUUCUUCUCUCUCUCCUUCCCUGCACCCCCCCACCCCAACCCCUGGUUUUUGUUGUUGUUGUUGUUGUUGUUGUUAAGUAGGCUUCAUGCCCUAUGUGGAAUUUGAACUGUUGACCCUGAGGUUAAGAGUCACAUGCUCUACUGACUGAGCCAGUUAGGCGCCUCUCCCACCCCAGUCCCCUUCGUUUUAAAAUCAUGAAUCAUUUCCAAGUGGUAAGUGGCAGUGGUCUGUCUAUUCUACCAAAAUGAUUGUCUCUUCAUUUUAGGAAAAAUAGCCUAUCUGAAAACUUCCUUUGGGCCAAAAACAAAAAAACAAAACAAAAAAAUGUCAAUCUGAAACUUAAAGCCUUAAAAACCUGCCCACCACCCCACCCCACCAGGUAUGUCAGAAUGAGGCUAAUUGGCUCUCUAGCUUUCUUGGUCUAUUGAAAUGGAAAAUGGCCUGGAUCAAAAAUCCUGGUUUAAAAGUCACACUGUAGUGAUUUAACCUAUAAAUACUGGUCCUUUGAUCACAAAAAAUGUUCCUUCACUGAUUUACGCAGUAUUGUUUUCAUGUCCAGAGCCAAACAAAGAAAAUGAAAGAUACUUUUGUUAGUCAUUUUUUUUUUGUCAAGUUUGAGUAUUUAUUCUAUUUUAUAUCCAUUUCCCCAGAAAAAAAAUGUGCUGUUUGUAAAAUAUCUGUUUAUUUGCAGGUGUUUGAAAUCAUAUGGGAGCCUUACCUGUCUUUGUCCUUAAUGGUGUCAGUAAUAUCUUGCACAGAGAGUCAGAGGCUGUGCUUUGGGACUGCACCUUGUAGCUGACUUUGUCUGUCUGGCUCCAGCUGUGAGUGUUUGAGUCAGCCAAUCACAGUGAUCAGGAACUAAAGCCAAAUGCUUUGUAUGUGGUAUGUGUGUAUCUCCUAAGAACUCGUGGAGUUUGGAUUUUUACAUUUUAAUUUAGGGAACACUUCUGCCUUCUCUUAGCUUGUUACAUGACUAGAACAAGAGAAGCCUUAACCUGUAUUUCCUCCAGUUCUCAGUCCCCAUUUGUUUUUGUUUUUAUUUUAAAAUUUUAAUGAGACUAGUGCCCUCAUCCCACCUCAACUCUAAAUCUGUCGGGACUUAAUGAAGUAGUAAACCCUCAGUGCAAAGUUUCUACCAAAUAAGUUUCAACAAAACAGUUUCUUCAUAAUGAAAGAUUUGAACAAUGAAUAAAUCCAGUAUAUACUUCCAUAAAAGUUUAUCUUAAGUCGUAGAUUCUUAUUUCCUCCAAAUGAUUACUAUGAAUCUGAUCUUUGGGGAGAAAAAGACUUAACUGUUUUUUCAUGAGGGUGAUAAGUCACACUGUCGUCAUCUGUAUAACCUCCUUGAGAAUCUCCCAGGCCGGGAAAUGAGGCAGUAAUCAUGAGGAUUCCCAAGAACAAACCUAAUUUUUAUAAAGUGUUCUCUUCUCUAUAAAAAGAAGGAGAGAAAGAGUUUCUUUGUGUAUUUAAAACAAUUAUUGUUAUUCUGAUACAUUUUAAGUUUCUAAAAAAUGUGAUAUUAAAGUAGAUGUAUCCCGUUAGCAGUACCUUAAAGGCUAGAAAAAAGGGAUAAAUCUUCAAAAAAGUGUCACAGUACAUUUUCAAAUUUAAACUUGAACUCCAGUUCAUCUUCAGCUUUUGUUGUGCUUUUUUAAGGCUUCUUUAUUUUUGAUACACAGAAUGCAGUUGUACUUGACCUUUUGAAAUAGAAACAUGUGAGCUUAUCAGAAAAAGACAAAACAAAACUGCACAGUUGUAAUAAUCGAAUGCAAUUAUACUGCACAAUUCAGUGAUUGUAAAGUAUCCUGUAAUGAGCAAUGUUUGUCUCCUAUUUUUUGAUACCUCUUAAACUUAUGUCUUUCAGAAAGACAGUGCCUCUGUAUGCUUUUUGUAUUUUUAAUGAGUGUAAAUAUUUGUUAUAUUUUUGGUUAAGAGAAUGUAAAAGUACUGUUUAUUAUUAUCAUAUCUACUAAUACAUUGGUGGAAUCAAUAAAGAAUCUACAUUAACCUUCUCUGCACGUUAUUACAAAUGAAUGGACACAGAUAACUCAAGAGGGCCAGUCUGGGACCGGCAUUGGUAUCACAUCUCCAGAUACUGGAAUGAUCCAAUUAUUGUUGACUUUGUAGUGUCUUAUAAAAUGCCCACCUGUUGUUUGGUUCUUACAAAGUGUGUUUGAUUACAUAUCAAGCAAUAAUGGUUACUCCCAUUAGGGCUUGUUUUUCUCUUACGACAGGAAAGUCUGUGGGCAGACUGUCCAGGGCUAAUCAAGUGACUGCACAAUGCUGUCAAGGACUCAGGGCCCUUGUCAGGACAUUGAUACCUCUUGACAUCACCUCUGUUUUGUAGGAAGGGCUUAAGGGAAAAGGUGCAAAUUUUAUUAGCAAAAUAGCAGCUUUUCCAGAAGCUCCACUUGGUAUUUCUGCUUUUAUCUCACUAGGCAGAAAUGUGUCACAUGAUCGGUGGCUGCAAGGAAACUUGGGAAGUGAACUUUUUUUUUUUAAGUAUAUUUUUUUUUUGAGAGAGAGGUGGUGGGGCUGGGGGGUGGAGAUGGGGGAGAGAAGGAGAGAGAGAAUCCCAAGCAGGCUCUGUGCUAUCAGCUUGGAGCCCGACACAGGAUUCGAUCCCACCAGCCACUGUGAGAGCACGACCUGAGUCGAGAUCAAGAGUUGGACACUCAACCGACUGAGCCAGCCAGGCACCCUGGGAUGUGAACUUUUUAGUUGAGCAAUCCAUGGUUCCAAAUACAAGUGGGAUUCCUUUCAAUGAAGGAGGAAAGAAUGCAUGUUGAGUUGGCAGCUGGCUUGGCCCAGCACAGCAUGCCUAUUGCCCACUCCUCUAGGGGCAAUAAACGCAGCAGCUUCUUUUACGGGAUCAGAUCCUAGGACCUUGGCAGAGAAGGAGGAAAUUAUGUUUUAGCAUUCCUUUCUAAAAUUUUCCCAAUCUUUAGUCUGUACCCAAAGAAUACUAUUUCUGUGAAAGGUAGGGCUUCUUCGUCCUCCCAGCAUACACACCAGGUUUUCCCAGGCUGAUCCUUCCCCUAACCAUUUGUGCAGGAUCACUAGUUCAUUCCUGUACUUAGAAAAUACUAAACAUGGGUGUAAUAGGUUGAGUAAUGGCCACCCAAAAAUAUCAAGCCCUAAUUUCUAGAACUUGUAGAUGUUAACUGCAUUUAAGAACAGGCUCUUUGUAGAUAUAAUUAAGCAUUCUGAGAUGAGAUUACUUUGGAUUAUCUGGAUGAGUCCUAUAGGCCAACACAAGUGUCUUUGUAAGAGAGAGACAAACUAAGAAGAUAAAAAUAGACCUAGUGGAGAAGGCAGUGUGAAGACAGCAGAUGUGGCCAGGAGUGGAAGGAUGCCAACAGCUUCCAGGAACUAGAAGAGAGGAGAUUGUUCCUUAACGCCUCUGGAGGACACCUUGCUUUGGACUUCUGGCCUGUUUUAAGACACCCAAUUUUUGGUCCUUUGUUACUUUGGGUCCAGUAACAAAGUGUAUUAGGAAACUAAUACACACUACUUUAUUUGUCUGAUAUUGGGGACCCAGAAUCUGCAACCUCUCUGCCAUCCUCCAGAAGCACCUGAUGAACAAAGACCAGGGGUACUGGCCCCCCCAGAAGCACUCUCUAUAGCCACCUUAUCAGUCUGUUGUUUUUGCAACUGUUUACACAAGGGACAUUCCUAUCAUCCUUGCCAAACUUAAUAUUUCUCAUUUUUCUCAUUUCAGACAUUGUGAUAGUGUAUACUGGUAUCUUACUGUGGUUUUAAUUUUCACAAUGAUUAACAAUGCUAAGCAUCUUUUCAAAUAUUUAUCGGCCUUUUGGAUAUUCUCUUUUGUUAAAUGUUUUUUUAAGAUCUUUUUUUAAAAUUUUUUUGCUAGAAUAUUGAACUACAGUAGUUUUAUAAUGACCUGUAUCUAGCAAUCUUAAUUCAUUUAUUCUAAGUUUGUGUUUCUUUUGGAUUUUUCUAGAUACUCCCUAUCAUGUGCUCAUAAUGGCUUUUAUUUAUUUCCAGUCAUUUUGCCUUUCAUUUCUCACCUAAUUGCACUGGUCACGGUGCUGGUACAGUGUUGAAGUGGUCAGGGUGAAAUUCCUUUCUUUGCUCCUGAUCUCAAGGGUAAAUUUUGUGAUUCGCUAUUGAUUGGAAUGACUGCUCUGGGGUUUUAAUAAGUAUUCUUUAGGGUGAAUUUAGGGUGUUUCCUUUUAUUUAUAACUUGGUAAGUGGGUUUGUGGUGUACUGAAUUUUGGCACAUGACUUUUCUGGAAUCUGUUGAGAUGAUCGAAUUAUUUUUCUUGUAUCUCUUAGUGUGGUUGCUUAGUUCAUAGAUUUCCUAGUGUAACCCCUCCCUCUUCCACACCUCCCCCACUCCACCAUUGGCUUUGCUAGAACAAACCCCACUUGGUUAUGAUAUCUUUUUAUAGAUAUAUAAACAAGAUAUAUAGAUAUAUCUUGUAUUUAUUGAUUGAUUUUGCAGUAUUUUACUUAGAAUAUUACAUCUAUGUUCGAGAGAGAGAUGGUCUCUAACAUCCCUGUCUUAUAAUACCCUUGUUAGGUUUUGGUAUUAAGGUUAAACUGGAUUCCUGGAAAGAGCUGGAAGUUAUUCUUUGUCUGUUUUUUGAAGCUUAUGGAAGAUUGAACUCUAGCUACUUGCAUCUUCCCGGACUCUCACCUGUCUCGUCAGCUCUGGAACACUGAUGAGCUCCGCCUCAGUUUCUCCUCCCUUACAUUACACCCUGGAAGUUUUCUUCAGGUAGUAAACUGGGGCAGAGGUAAGGCUCAGCUCUUGUUUUUGUGCUCUCGAGGAUUACUGUUCUUCACUGCCCGAUGUCCAGUGUCUUAAGUGGCAUUGUUUUACAUGUUUUCUCUAGCGUGUUAGUUACUUGAGGCAUGAGGGUAAAGUGGUACUUACUCCAUCUUGACUGGAAGUGGAAGUCCAUAUAGAAAAAUUGAAUAUAACUGUCAGUAAAUAACAGUAACAAGCAAGCACACACACCCUGCCCCCCCCCCCCCAAAAAAAGCAUUUAGGAUACAGAGGGUAGGAACAACACAAUUAACAAACUUAAUCUAAUGGACUAUAUAGAACAGUUAAUCAGCAACAGCAAAGCCUAUGUUCUUUCCAGGUGAACACGGAGCACUGAUCAAAGUUGACUCUUUGUUAAGCCAUAAAGUAAGUAAAAAAUUGGGAAAAGUUGGACUCCUGUAGAAAAGGCUCUCUGUACAAAAUUAAACUAGUAACACAAACUAAAAAUUAGAAGUUAAGAAAUGUUUCCCCCAAUAACCUGGUGGAAAGUAGGAAAAAAAUUUUAAUUAAAAUGGAAAUAUGAAUAUCAAACCUUUUGGUUGAGAUUAAAGCCUUAAAAUGUAUAUGUAAGAAAGGUAGGCUAAAAAUGAAUGAAACAUCCUUCUCAAGAAACCAGAAUAAUAACAGCAAAUUAAAUUCAAAUAAAUGGAAGGAAAUAAUAACAAAUUAAUGAAAUAUAUAACAUGACCAACAGAAGAUUAACAAAGCACUAAAUUCUUUAAAAAUUUUAGACUAAUAAAAUUGCUAAUCUCUUAGGGGGAAUGACCAAGAAAAGAGAAAAAUGGCAAAAUUGUUAUUAGGAAUGAAAAGGAAUCAUUAUGAUUAACGUCAUUAAAGACGAGACAUUUAAAGUAACCAAAAUGUAGAUGAAAUCAAUUCACAGAAAAAAACAAAUCUGUAACAAGGAAAAUUUAGUAAUCCUGUGGCUGUUAAAGGAGUUGAAUCUGUCAUUUUAAAAGCCUUUCCACAAAGAAAACUCAAGCCCUGGAUGACUUUAUCAAAAAAUUGCACCAAUGCUUACAGAAGAAACAAUGCUUGUCUUAACAAAAUGUCAGCAAUAGGAAGGAUUUCUUAAAUAAGGUCCUCCUAAGACAACUCUAAAGGAAAUGAUUGAUGUAUUUGUCUUAAAGACAGGUUUAUCUUAAGAUACCAUUUAAAAACACAAAAGGGGGGCACCUGGGUGGCUCAGUCGGUUGAGCGUCCGACUUCAGCUCAGGUCAUGAUCUCACUCUCAGUUCUGUGAGUUCGAGCCCCGCGUCGGGCUCUGUGCUGACAGCUCAGAGCCUGGAGCCUGUUUCAGAUUCUGUGUCUCCCUCUCUCUGCCCCUUCCCUGCUCCUGCUCAUGCUCUCUCUCUCUGCCUCUCAAAAAUGAAUAAACGUUAAAAAAUUAUUUUAAAAAAAGAUAAAAACACAAAAGGCCGUAUAGAGUUGGACAAUGUACUUUCAUUCAUAUACCCCUUCAAGGGACGGGUAUCCAGAAUAUAUGAAGUACAUCUGUAUAUCAAAAGAAAAACCCUCAAUAGAAAACAGGGCAAGACUUAAACUAAAUUAGAGGGGAAAAUUUCCAUUAAACAUGGAAAGUUGCUUAAUCCCAUUUUGAAAAACUACAUCGGUUUGGAGUUCGUGUGGAACUUUAGCUCUGCUCUGCUCUAUUUUGACUGUAGCAGCAGCUGAUCAGGGGCCAGAACCUUUUAUACUUUGUAAAAAUGUGGCCUGAAAGGGGAAGUUGUGGUAAAAUACAUUGGGAGCCACCAGAUGGCACCACACUAAAGCGUGUUUCUCGCAGUCUUUGUCUUCAGAAAUGUAAGAGCGAGGUAAUUUCUUAGCCGUCUUUCCUGUAUGCCUGCAGUCCACAGUGAAAUAUUUUGAGCUCUCCUUCACAGGAGUGAUGAAACUGAAACAUUUCCAACUAGAAAAGAGAAUUUUAGACAUUCUCUUUGGAAAAACUCUGGACAGUGUGGAUGCAGUGAUUUCCUAACAUAUCAUUUGUACAUUUGUACAUAGGAUUUGGUGUUUUCCAGGGCACCUAAGGGAAAUCUUCCAGAUUUCCACAUAUGACCCAACUCUGAUGACCCAAUUCUGAGCAGGAAGGAAAAUCAGGUAACACAUAAGAACAAGUCAGAUUACUAGCAGUCUACACUGAACCACUGCCUAGUCCAUAGACUCCUGGCAGCUGUCUGUUCAGACCACUUGGUAUUUUUCGCGUUUUUAAUGUUGGCCAUUUUGGUAGAUAUGUAACGGUAUUUUAUUAUGGUUUUAGUUUUUGUUUCCCUGGUUAUAGGGAAUUGAGCUCCUUUUCAUAAUUUGUAGGCCAUUUGAUUUUCACUUUUAUGAAGUACAUAUUUUAGUCUUUCAUUUUUAUCUACUUGUAGAUGUUUUUUAUGUAUUUUGGAUAUGACUCCUUUAUCAGUUACAUCCAUGACUAAUAACUUUUCCCGCUCUAUGGCAUGCUCUGUCAUAAUGAAAAAGAAAAGUUCUUAAUUUUAAACUGGAGAAACUGCAUUACUCUUUUCCUUUAUGGUUAAUGCUUUUUCUGGUGUGAUCUAAGAAGUCUUUCUCUGCUCCAAAUUCAUUAACAUAUUUGUGCCAAUAUUUUUCAAAUACUUCAGUGUCUUACCUUUUAAAUUUGGAUCUACAGUUUAUCUGGAAUAGAAUUUGUGCCCAAUGUAAGGUAGAGGUCAGGUUCCAUUCUCUCCCCUAUGGAUUGUUCCUAUACUGUUUGUUGAAAAGAUAAAUCCUUUGUUGCAUUGAUUACAGUGUUAUGAGCCAGCUGUCUAUAUAUGUUUGAGUUACUCAGGGGUCUGUAUUCUGUUUUAUCACCGUAUUCUUCCCUAAUACCACAUUGUCUUCAUUGCUCUAGCAGUAAACUAUAUACUGAUACCUGGUAGUGAAAGUUUGCUGACCCUGUUGUUUUUCCAGAAUAUUAGCUGUUCUGUAUCAUUUGCAUUUCCAAAUAAAUCUAAUGGCCAGCUUAUCAACUUACACACACACACACACAACUGCAAUUUUGAGGAGGGUUUUAUUUUGAAAUAGUGUAACAAUUUGAAGGAAAUUAACAUAUUCAUAAAAUUUAGUCUUCUGAUCUGUGAAGCCAGUAUAUUUCUGCAUUUAUUUAGAUUUUCUCUUGACUCUCACUGUUUUAUUGUUUUGGUUUAACGUCUUUAAUAUUUUUCAUAUAAGAUGUAUUUUUUAAGUGAUGUGAUUUAGGGCUCCCCACCCCCCCUGCUUUACUGAGGUAUGCUUGACAGAUAAAAAUUGUGUAUAUUUGAGGUAUAUGUCUUAGUUAGUCUGGGCUACUAUAACAAAACAGUUCUGAAAGCUGGGAAGUCCAAGAUCAAGGUGCCAGCAGGCUCACUGUUCUUUGAGGGCUGCUCUCCGGGUUCAUGGAUGGUGCCUUCUUGCUUUGUCUUCACAGAGAAGGGGCUUCUAUUAUAAGGGUACUAAUCCCAAUCAUGAGGGUUUCACCCACUUGACCUAACCACUUGCUACAGGCCUCACUUCCUAAUACCCUCACCUUUAGCGAUUAGGAUUUCAGCAUGUGAAUGGGGGUGGGGGCAUAAGCAUUCAGUGGAUGGCAGCAUACAACUGUACAACAUGAUGGUCUAAUGUAUGUGUAUGUUGUGAAAUGGUUACCACAGUUAAGCUAAUUACCGUAUUCAUUACUUUACAUACUUAGAAUCUGUGUGUGUUGAGAACACUUAAAAUCACCUCCCAUAGCAAAUUUCAUCUAUGCAGUACAGUAUUGACUCUAGUCCCUGUGCCAUAUAGUAGCACUCCAGAACUUACUCAUCCUGCAUAAAUGAAUCUUCGUACCUUUUGACCAACAUCUUCCCGUUCCCACACCCCUCAACUCCUGGCACCCCCCAUAUUCCACACGUAAGUGAGAUCAUGCAUUCUUUGUUCUUCUUUGCCUGGCUUAUUUCACUUAGCAUAAUGUCCUCCAGGUUCAUCCAUGUUUCCCACAAAAGGCUAGAUGGGUUUUAUUUUCUUUUUAAAGGCUGAAUAAUAUUCCUUUGCACAUACCACAUUUUGCUUCCCCAUUCAUCAACAGAUUGUUUCCAAAUCUUGGCAGUUGUGAAUAACACUGCAGGGAACAUGGAGUUCCUGCUAUGUAUUCAGCCAACAGUCAGGAAGAAGGUGGAACCCUCAGUUCUCCAGGGAAUGAAUUCUCUCCAAAUCUGGACCAGCUAGGAAGUGGCUUUUUCCCUAGGUCAGCCUCCAGAUUUGAGCACAGCACAGCUAGCAGCUUGAUUACAGCCGUGGGAGACCCUGAGCAGAUGACCCAGCCAACGUCAGCCCAAACUCCUGACCCACUGAAAUUGUGCUAUUUUGAGCUGCUAAGUUCGUGAUAAUUUACAGCAACAGAUAACCAAUAUUAUUACUUAUUCGCUGUAUAUUCUCUCUGCCUUAGUUAGUUCUCUUAUCCACAAACAGGUUACCAGCAAUAACCUGUCUGGUAUUUAUUGUUGCUCUGCAGAUGAAGUGAGUUCACACAUGUAUAAUCCUUUGUCAGUGCCCGGCCACCUCGCACGUGCCUGUGCUGCCACUCUGCCUGCCUGCCUGCCUGCCUGCCUGCCUCUUAACCCUCAUCACACUUGGGUAGUUUUCUACCUUAAUUCUUCCAUUUCAUCUUCUUUUCUAGAAUUUCAUUUCUUGACCCAAACUUGGCUGGCCAACACUCCUUUAUGUAGUGGUCACUUAUCUGACAAAAGCACCUCUUAGAAAUAUAAUCAAGAUGCUCCCCAAACUAAAAUUGGUUCCAAAUAGAAAAUGCACUAAGACUAUACUCUUAACGUGUUGAUGAGACUCAGCACUUCACUGUUUCUAAGUUAAAACACACUGGGAGUCAGAAAUUUAAUAAGUGAGUGGAGAACUAGAAAGAACCAUACUCCUAGCACUAAGAAUGUGAUGAAGGCACCCUGAGAUGGAAGGAGCCUAAAAACUCGGACAAGGCACAGAGGAGCUCUAAGGUAGAGGCAGGCUGUACCCUGGGGUUCUCUGAAGGUAUCACUGAACAAAUAUAACGUCAUGUUGGGUAAGACACUCCUCUUAAUACUUUCACACUUUUAAAGACAUAUAUUAGAAAUAUCUAAUAGUUUAAAAGAUUUUUUAAAAUUUAUUAAAUAUUCCUUGUUCAACAAUAAAAAUAGUUUUAAAAUGUGUAAAGGACCUAAAAGAAACUUCUCUAAAACAGAUACACAAAUGGUCAAUAAGCACAUGAAAAGAUGCUCAACAUCACUUAAUUAUGAGGGAAAUGGAAAUCAUCACACUCAUUAAGAUGGGUACUAUAAAAAAUAAAAUAAAAUCCCAAGUGUUGGUGGAGAGGUGGAAAAAUUAGAACCCUAUGCCCUUGGAGGUUCCUCCGAAAAAUUAAUAGUACCAUAUGAUCCAGCAAUCCUAUUUCUGGCUAUAUAUCCCAAGGAAUUGAGAACAGAGUCUCAGAGAGGUAUUUGCACACCCAUGCAUGAUUCACUAUAGCCAAAAGGUGGAAGAAACACAAGUGUUCAUCGAUGGAGGCAUCAAAAAAUAAAUUGUGGUGUGAACAUAAAAUGGAAUAUUAUUCAGCUUUCAAAAGGAAGGAAAUUCAGACAGCUGCUAUAACAUGAAUGAACUUUAAGAAAAGACAUUAUGCUAAGGGAAUUACGCCAGCAAACAAAAAGAUAAACCGUGAAUGAUUUUGAUUGUGUGGGGUACCUAAUAGAGUCAAAUUCACAGGCACAGAAAGUAGAAUAGCAAUUGCCAGGGGCUAGGCAGGAGGGAAAAAUUGAGUUAUGGUUCAAUGGGUAUAGAAUUCCCAUUUGGCAAGAUGAAAAAUUUCUGGAGAUGGAUUGUAUGACAUUGCAAAUGUAUAUAACACUCCUGAAAUGUACACUUCAAAAUGGUUAGGUUUGUGUAUUUUACCACAAUUUUUUUUAAUUGCCAAAAAAAAAAAAAUCCAACCCAAGAAAAAUGAACAAAAGUAUUUGUGGUAGGCUGAGGGAAUCAGUAGGCAGUGAUGGGUUUCAAGUCCUUUGAGACCAGAAGCAUGUUUAGGGCAACUGCACACACCUAAAAAACCCAAACUCCAAAUGAUCACUCCCCUGCAUCUCAUCCAUAAAAUCCCCUAGGGCACCAAAUAUCAAGUAGCUAGUCAGCACUGAUAUUGCACCUAGGGCAAAAAUUCACCGGGAAACUUGAACUUGGGUUUUAAGUCAAGCACUUCAUUUCGCUAAAACCCUCUAGGGCUUUGUCAUACUAAGGAGCAAAGAAAGAAGCUUUAAAAGUAGCAAUUUUUUUUGUCAUUGCCAAGGUCAGACUUUAAAUCUUAAUUGAACUCGUGACUUCCUUUGAGAGGCAAAAUAAUAGACGAGAUAGCCAAAGAGCUCUUUCUGUUCCAGGAGGCACGUGGAAGGGACAGGUAUUGGGUUGAGGUCUAGAGAUCGGCCAACGAUCAAGAUGCUCAGGAUGGCGAGAGUUCCGGAAUCCUUUGUGGCCUGCUUAGAGCAACACAUCAGGCCUCCGUUCUGGCUUCUGAUGGCCCCAAAGCCAGCAAAUCCACUGCAGCCUGGAUCUUCGGGUGGGUUCUACCGCUAAGUCAUUGGUGUUCUGGGUUUCUUUUCACUAUUUUUUAUCUUCCAAUUAAAAAUGGUUUACACUAGUUACUCUUGAGCCUUGUCAUGUCUCCACCUUCUGGUUUAAAGACUACUGGGGCCUGGAAUGUUACUGCAUCGGGGCUCCUGAUGAGCAUGGGUUCGAGGCUUCAGAGUCAGGUGCCCCCCCACCGCCACUCAGGUGACAGGGAAGGAGAGUUAGAAGUGUAGCAGAGGGGCUACUGUCUUUGCUGUGAAAGCCUGUUCUCUUAGAGAUCAUGACUGGCAGGCAGCCGACCUAUGUGGACUUAACCCCAGUUCUGCCUUCUCCUUCCUUGCUUCCCUGCCUUCCCUCGUUUUAGAACAUCUCCCCAAAUCCCUUUUUUAAGGCAACCAUUCCAUCUCCAAGGCAUGGUGUUCUGGUGGGAUUUCAAGUGACAGUAACCUCCCCCCUCCCCCCGUGUGCACACACACACGUAUUGUGUGCAUGACUGCAGGUGGGCCUGUGUGAGGCCUUCCUACAUUCCUUAGCAUAUAGGUGGAGGUCAAUUCCUGUGAGCUCCCAUGACACUCUUUCUCAACUACAAGACUACUACACCCAAUAAUUAGCUGUUUGACCUUGAGCAAGUUACGUACCCUCUCCAACCAUCGGUUCCAUCGGUGCAAUAGGGGGUAAAAGUUCCCUAAUAGGAUGGUUGUGAGAAUGAGCACAGCCCACGCAUGCCUAGCACAAGGCUGGCCUUUACUAAGCACGUCUUCAUCCCCUCCAUGCAGUGGCCCAACCCUCAAAUAGCCCCACAGCCUAGCACGUCCACUGAGCUUUGCUUUCCCUCCCCUGUUAGGCCAGGUCUGUAAAGGGCUUUUGGCAAUCUGGAACUAAUAAAAGUCUAAUGAAUAAACCAAUCAUUGAACCUGUACUGGAAAUUUAUCUUCUGCAUUUAUUUCUUAAGGUUGGAAAGAAAGCAGCGCUCUUAAUUAAUUUUGUACUAUCUCUUUCAAUAGGAGCGUAUGCUGGUGAUUUUCUUUUAUCAGUCCCGAAAUCCUUGUUUUUAGGAAAUAGAGGGUCUGACGAACUUGCUCAUGAACAGCCUUGAACUAGAUUGAAACACCUGCUGGUUCUCUGGUUUUCUGUUCAGAUUUGAGAGCUGCAAGUGGCUGGUGACAAAGGAGAAAGAAACCUCCAGUGACUUCACAAGCUACUGGGCAGAGAAAGGAGGGUGCCAAUGUCAUGGAAGGCAAAGAACAGACUGUUUUCUGAAAAUCAGGUCAAGAAGAUCAUUGAGAGGACCAACAUUACUUCGAAAGAUGUACCCAAACCUACCGGACCUAUGCACAAGUGCAGUGGAGGGUUUCUAACUGGAUGUACUGAUUCUCUCUCCGUGUGGGGUUGACACCUAAGAAGACUCAAAAGUGCAGAAACACAAGCACCGAGUUACCUAGCACCCCCACUGCACUGGGUAACUUAAAUUCAAAAGCACUGAUGGAGAAAUGCUUGCCUGUUUUGCCUAUAAAAACCCAUUAUUUAUCCAGUUACCUAAUUUCUUGGCUGUCUACAUUUUCAAUUAACCCCACCUGCUGCAUAAAAUGCUAACCCUACAAAGUGUAGUCAGAACUGAAUUAGACAUUGGAUUUAAACAUUUUAAUAAGACUACAAAACCACUAACUGUCUUAACACUACACCCUCAUAGGGAAGGAAAAGUACUUACAGAAUUAUCUGAAAUAUACAUAAUUUGUAAAGAACAAACAUUUUGGAGCCUGAGCAAAGGUUUCUCACCCAUGUCCUAAAGAAUCACCAGCCAGACUGUUUUCACGAGCAACGAUUCAGUCAAGUCACUAAAUAGCUCUUGGUAACUUCCACUACCCUGAAAGAAGUCUGAAUAUGGAAAGGCCAAGGACUCUAGAGUCUGAAGUUAGGAGUACUGGCCAGGACUUGAACAAACUGUUAGUGGAAACAACUGGAUCCCAUAAAACUAAAAUAAAAACAAGUAAAAACAGAAUGAGUACACAAUGAGACUGGAUGAGGGCAUCACCCCAACACGCUGAUACACAACCAUACCUGUUUACAAUCCCAGGUCCUUGCUCUCAAAAUAAAUAUAUUGAACAUUUACAACCAAAUGAAUGCCUUAUGAAUGCCAGAUUUUAACUUUAAAAGAAGCUACAGUUAGGCCUCUUUGUGUGAAACUGACGAGACUUGGUGCCACAGCUAACCUUUCUCUAAUAGCAGCAGUUACCCUCAGCCCACAGCAGCAAAGAAAUACUCCUUUCUGGCAUCCCAUGGGCUCCCAUAUGAAGCAACUUCAUAAAGCAUGCAGAUAUCUAUUCUGCUCAAGUUUCAAAUGAAUAAAAAUGAUCAUUGUGCUUGUGGAUGUCAUACCUUCCAAAAUAUACAUAAAUGGUGACAAAUUAACAAAUAAUAGCAGGUCCUACCUUACCAACAAACUCAUAAGGCAGAGGGUUGGAGAUGGAAGAGAAAUGUUUCAAAUGGCAAAAAAAAAAAAAAAAGCAAAA